UACGGAGGGGGUUAGCGUUGUUCGGAAUUACUGGGCGUAAAGCGCACGUAGGCGGAUCAGAAAGUAUAGGGUGAAAUCCCAGGGCUCAACCCUGGAACUGCCUUAUAAACUCCUGGCUCUGAUGUCGAGAGAGGUAAGUGGAAUUCCGAGUGUAGAGGUGAAAUUCGUAGAUAUUCGGAGGAACACCAGUGGCGAAGGCG
rnacentral:rRNA from 1 species